rnacentral:tRNA from 1 species
CGCGAGGUGGAGCAACUCGGUAGCUCGCUGGGCUCAUAACCCAGAGGUCGCAGGUUCAAAUCCUGUCCCCGCUACGA